CCCCGGCGCCACAAGUGGUUAUCACGAUUAUUGGGCCUAAAGCGUUCGUAGCCGGUCUGGUAAAUCUCUUGUGAAAUUGUUCGGCUUAACCGGACAGCGUGCAGGAGACACUGCCAGACUCGAGACCGGGAGGGGUUAGAAGUAUUCCAUGGGGACUGGUAAAAUGGGAUAAUCCAUGGAAGACUACCGAUGGCGAAGGCAUCUAACCAGAACGGAUCUGACGGUGAGGAACGAAAGCCAGGGAGCGAACCGGA
rnacentral:rRNA from 1 species